AUUAGAACUAAGAAAUAUUAUAAAAGUAACUGUUUGAAGUUUGAAGCUUAUAAUUAGAUGAAUAAUAGCGUGUCAAAAUGGGAUAAAAAGAAGCAUGUUUAGCAAUUAAUGAAAGGGGUAGCUGGCACACCAUAAACUAUCAUCGUAUCUACUGAAUACAUUGCAUUGCGCGUGGUAUAAUGUUCUUGACAUUUACCUUCCAUUAAAUCUUGUUUCCAUAUUUCUAUGCCCCCAUUAUUCAAUUCAACUAUAUAACAAUCACCGUAUGAAUCAGAAUCACUCACACAAAACCUUCUUCUAUUCAUAUUGUCUUUCCGCAAGCAGCAGAUGAAAGGGGACACAGCAAAGAGUGGUGCAGAGUUGGAACUGAAUCUGAAGCUGAUGUGUUUCCCAGCAUCAUCAUCAACAACAACAACGGAUGAAUCAUCAUCAUUGGAAUCUUCGAAUGCGUCAUCAGAGAUGUCGUGCGUGUCUUCUUCAUCAGAAGAAGCAAAGCCAAUGGUGCUGGUAGGUUGUCUUGGGUGCUUGAUGUAUGUUCUUCUUUCAGGUGCUGAUCCCAACCCUAAGUGCCCCAACUGCAACAGUAGGGUCCUUCUUGAUAUCCUCAAGAACGAGAAGAUCAACAACCCAAUUCCAUAGCUAGCUACCAACUUCAAAAAUAAAGUUCAUGCAUGUAUCUCUUUCAGAUUAUUUUAUUUCUCAUUUGUUACUGCUUGUUCAUUAAUAAUAGUACCUAGAUUAUAUUUAUUUAUAUUAUUUUCUUCCUUGUAUCUUGUAUUCAAUUCUUGUGUAUGAUGAAGGGAAUUGAAGAUCAGGAGAUUUGAUUUAUAAUAUAAACAUGAUUAUAUAUGCUUUGUUUAUUGAUCA